GGGCGAAAGCCUGACGCAGCAACGCCGCGUGAGCGAUGAAGGCCUUCGGGUCGUAAAGCUCUUUCCCAGGGACGAGACAGGACGGUACCUGGGGAAUAAGUCACGGCUAACUACGUGCCAGCAGCCGCGGUAAAACGUAGGUGGCAAGCGUUAUCCGGACUCACUGGGCGUAAAGCGCACGCAGGCGGCACGGCAAGUAGGGCAUGAAAUCACCCGGCUUAACUGGGCGAGGUUGUCCUAAACUGCCGAGCUGGAGGAUGGGAGAGGGAAGUGGAACUGCCGGUGUAGUGGUGAAAUGCGUAGAGAUCAGCAAGAACACCAGUGGCGAAGGCGGCUUCCUGGCCCAGUCCUGACGCUCAAGUGCGAAAGCUAGGGGAGUGAACGGGAUUAGAAACCCCGGUAAUCCUAGCCGUAAACGAUGUACACUAGGUGUCGGGGGUAUUGACCCCCUCGGUGCCGAAGCCAACGCGUUAAGUGUACCGCCUGGGGACUACGGCCGCAAGGUUA
rnacentral:rRNA from 1 species